GAUGAACGCUGGCGGCUUGCCUAAUACAUGCAAGUCGAGCGAACAGAUGAGGAGCUUGCUCCUCUGACGUUAGCGGCGGACGGGUGAGUAACACGUGGAUAACCUACCUAUAAGACUGGGAUAACUUCGGGAAACCGGAGCUAAUACCGGAUAAUAUAUUGAACCGCAUGGUUCAAUAGUGAAAGACGGUUUUGCUGUCACUUAUAGAUGGAUCCGCGCCGCAUUAGCUAGUUGGUAAGGUAACGGCUUACCAAGGCAACGAUGCGUAGCCGACCUGAGAGGGUGAUCGGCCACACUGGAACUGAGACACGGUCCAGACUCCUACGGGAGGCAGCAGUAGGGAAUCUUCCGCAAUGGGCGAAAGCCUGACGGAGCAACGCCGCGUGAGUGAUGAAGGUCUUCGGAUCGUAAAACUCUGUUAUUAGGGAAGAACAAAUGUGUAAGUAACUAUGCACGUCUUGACGGUACCUAAUCAGAAAGCCACGGCUAACUACGUG
rnacentral:rRNA from 1 species